GGUCCCAUGGCGUAGCGGUUAUCGCUCGGGACAUUGAAUCCAGCACCCAAGUGCGAAUAUCGGUGGGACCC
rnacentral:tRNA from 1 species